rnacentral:pre_miRNA from 1 species
AUUACAUGUGAGUCCCUCAUUUGGCGGACUUAGCUGCUUUUCAAUUUGAUAUUGCUAGCUGCCUUGUGAAGGGCUUACGUGUGAU